rnacentral:rRNA from 1 species
UACGUAGGGUGCAAAGGCGUUUAAUCGGAAUUACUGGGCGUAAAGCGUGCGCAGGCGGUUUUGUAAGUUCUGGUCGUGAAAAUCCCCGGGCUCAACCUGGGAAUUGCGAUGGAGACUGCAAGGCUAGAAUCUGGCAGAGGGGGGUAGAAUUCCACGUGUAGCAGUGAAAUGCGUAGAGAUGUGGAGGAACACCGAUGGCGAAGGCAGCCCCCUGGGUCAAGAUUGACGCUCAUGCACGAAAGCGUGGGGAGCAAACAGG